rnacentral:rRNA from 1 species
UACAGAGGGUGCAAGCGUUAAUCGGAAUUACUGGGCGUAAAGCGCGCGUAGGCGGUUCGUUAAGUUGGAUGUGAAAUCCCCGGGCUCAACCUGGGAACUGCAUUCAAAACUGACGGGCUAGAGUAUGGUAGAGGGUGGUGGAAUUUCCUGUGUAGCGGUGAAAUGCGUAGAUAUAGGAAGGAACACCAGUGGCGAAGGCGACCGCCUGGACUGAUACUGACACUGAGGUGCGAAAGCGUGGGGAGCAAACAGG